rnacentral:tRNA from 1 species
AUGGUUUAAACCCCUCAGUCGGUAGAGCAGAG